UGUUUCGGCUAGGGGGCCAUCCCGGCUUACCAACCCGAUGCAAACUGCGAAUACCGGAGAAUGUUAUCACGGGAGACACACGGCGGGUGCUAACGUCCGUCGUGAAGAGGGAAACAACCCAGACCGCCAGCUAAGGUCCCAAAGUCAUGGUUAAGUGGGAAACGAUGUGGGAAGGCCCAGACAGCCAGGAUGUUGGCUUAGAAGCAGCCAUCAUUUAAAGAAAGCGUAAUAGCUCACUGGUCGAGUCGGCCUGCGCGGAAGAUGUAACGGGGCUAAACCAUGCACCGAAGCUGCGGCAGCGACGCUUAUGCGUUGUUGGGUAGGGGAGCGUUCUGUAAGCCUGCGAAGGUGGCCUGUGAGGGUUGC
rnacentral:rRNA from 1 species